UACGUAGGGCGCAAGCGUUAUCCGGAAUUAUUGGGCGUAAAGAGCUCGUAGGCGGUUUGUCGCGUCUGCUGUGAAAACUGGGGGCUCAACCCCCAGCCUGCAGUGGGUACGGGCAGACUAGAGUGCGGUAGGGGAGAUUGGAAUUCCUGGUGUAGCGGUGGAAUGCGCAGAUAUCAGGAGGAACACCGGUGGCGAAGGCGGGUCUCUGGGCCGUUACUGACGCUGAGGAGCGAAAGCGUGGGGAGCGAACAGG
rnacentral:rRNA from 1 species